rnacentral:misc_RNA from 1 species
CUAUCAUUUCGGCAUCAUUAUAAUUUUCAUUCUCUUGCAAGUCACUGAAACUGUCAUGGAUCGCUGACUCCCACCAACUCGCCCCUCUACUUUGCCGCCUCGCGCUUUUCUUUGAACAUGACAGAUAUCCACAGUUCUUGUCCAUCGACACACAGAUAGACUGAAACACCCUCAUCCUUCUCUCCAUCCAUCCCCGCCAUCGUCAGCAGGCGCACGCCGCAGUGAGGACACGUGCACCUCGCGUGUGUUGUCGCCACUUCAAGUGACGCACCGCCGUAGACGCGACUGCCGCAUGGUGUCGUGGCGCUGCAUGCUGCAUGCUGCAGCAGUUCCCUCCUCAUGUCCGCCACGACUCCACGCAUCUUGUGGUCCAGGUCUCGCCUGGAUCGAUAGCCUUUUACUUUAUUUGUUUCCUCCCUCCCACAACCCCUCGUCCUGCGCUUCAUCUGUUCACUCGCUCUGCUGAUGUUGUAGUCGGAGAUAACGGCCACUUGUUCACUUUGUCCGUUCAUUUCCUACUUCGCCAUGGGAGGACAGUGCCGUGCGUCUCCACAGACUGAGACAACCUUUUGGUCAGUUUUUCCUUCUCCCAGGAACUUUGCCAGAGUUGGACCGCACCAGACUCAAGCGGUGACAGAAAGUUUUGUGCAGAUGAACAAUGCGAUGUGGUUCUGGCCGUCAGACCGGGUGUCACUGGGGUAGCCACCCGUACACAACUUGUCCACGCAGCGGGAGGCACCAGGGUCAGGACCUGACUAGUCACGAGCAGAUGUGCGCAUCGUGGUGACACAAGUGGUAUGCACGUGCUAGGGUUCAAAAUGACAACACCCGUAGUCAACAAGCGAGGUCGACUCCUGCGCCUCUCCUUGUUCCACAGGGAGGAUUCCUCGUCCGAUGUCUUCAGCUCGGAGACAUCGCCGUCUGACAAGCAGGACUCGCCCUCGCCGCUGUCACUACCCAAGCGGCUCCACCAUCCCCUGCACUCCAGACACCGGUCAGCGGGCUCCAGCUCGGAGUCAUCGUCCCUCCCAGAGAGGUUGCUGGCCAGAAGCGUGUCCUUGACCUCUCAACCUGACGCAAGUGCCACCUCUGGCAGCAGCUGCAGCAUCUUUGACGGUCGUUCAAGGAAAGUUCAGUCCUCCAGAAACAGCUUCUUCGGGUCCAAGAGCGGGUUCGGGAGCAUCAGCCGCAAAGACAAAGGCGGCGGGGCUGGAGGUCGAAGCCUGCAGGGAAUGGAAAGUGUGGGGAAGAACCAGUCUUUUCCUAAGUUCUUCCACAGGAGACACCUGUCAUCGUCGUCGCUGCCUUCGGGGCUGCUGGAGGCUUCUUCGCUGUCAGAGUCGUUUUCGGAUGUGUACGAGGAAGACCCUCACCUUUGCCCUGGCACGCAUGCAGAGGCUGCGUCUGACGGUCGGGGUCAUGGUGACCUGGCGUCUUCCGCGGCCUGCCGCGUGGUGUCGCCCUCAGGGUACCGGGAGGGCACGGAGGCGGCUCGGAGCGCGGAGACCAGCGAAGCCAAAGGACCGAUGAUGGUGCGCGGCCUCGGCGAUGGUGUCUCCCGCUGCGCCUCCUUCUCUCCUCCGGCUGCCAACAGGCUGCAGGACCUGGACAUCGUCGGGGAGAGCUUCGAGUCCAGGUUUCCAUGGCAACGUGAUGUGUCGGUGCAGUGUAAUCUCAGCCUGUACAACUGGCGACAGCAUCGUGGAGGAAGUACCAGCAGUUCUCACAGCGGAGGAGGAGGAGGCGGAGGGAGAUUGGAAUCACUUCUCAUUUCUUCUGUCGACUCGGGCUGUCACAGCAUCUCCACCUCCCACAACCCUCACCAUCUUCUCCACCAACACCAGCAGCAUCACAGCUCGUCUUCGGGACGGGCAUCCCCGUCCCAGGUCAAUACCGACGCCACCAACAAGGGCAGUAACUUUAACAGUAUUUCCGGUGUGGUGCGAAGGGUCAACUUUGUGCGGCGCCCCCGGCCCAGCUCCAUGGGCGCUCUGGACAACACGCGGCACCAAGUGGAGGUGUCACGCUUCCGCGAGCUCAUCACGCGCCGGGGGGAGAGAAAGUCGGACCCGCAGCUGGGAGUGCAGUCGCCCCCAUCCUCCGGCUGGCGCAGGAUACCAUUAGUGGGCCAGGAGGAAGGAGAAUCCGUGUCGGACCUGGAAUCGAUUCUAGAGUACCCGGAUGACUGCCUUGCGGACAUCUCACGACAGACAAGCUUCACGUCCUUCGACACAGAGGACGACAGCUUACGUCACUGCGACGGUGUGUUCACGGACUGGCCGGAACCCUCCGACUACCUCCGACAGUCUGUCUCGUCCGACGUCCUGCCCUCGCCAAGACUCUCUCCCAUCGUCUGGGCGCCGCUCGAUGAUGACGACCUGUCCGAUGUCGAGGCAUCACCAAGUAUCGCAGAAGACGGAUUACCGGACAUAGAGGAGCAUAUUAUGCGAUUUAGAAGGGCUACAAAGCCCCCCAGACGUCUCAGUUCCGGGAGCCUGACGAGCGGCUCAGAGAAUGAAGGGGAGCACGAGCCGUCCCCCCCAGUGGCGCGGAGGGGCCGGCGGUCCGCCAUUUAUGAGACCAAGAACUGUGGAGAUGUUUCUCCGACGACACUAUCGCCGGAACACUCUCCCAGCAACUCCUGUGAUGAAGGCGAAGGUGCAAGUAACAUCGCUGAGCGACUGCGACGGCGGCGGAGUUCGGUGGAUCUCGCCAUGAACAUCUACCCCGGCGACCUGCUGGUGCAGGAGCACCACAAGAAGCUCAUCAAGCGAAACACCAUCGCGGACUUCUACGCCGGUAGAAACGGGGGACCGCCGAUUGCAGCGCCCCCUGAUGGCACAGAUGCAUCCAAAAAGGGCAGGCAGCCAUUUUCCCUGCUGAAGCUAAUGAAGACGAGAAGUAAAGAGAACCUCACGAAAUUAGAGGAUAUUCUACGUCGAAUAAAACCCUCGGAGUUUAAAGACAAUCACCUCGCUGCCUACAAGAUCGUCCACUGGUCAGACCUGAUUGCCAGUUCAGACAAGCAGAGUCCACCGAUCAUCAUCUCCGACACAGAAAGGAAGCGGCGCGAAGCAGUGUGGGAACUCUUUAAGAGUGAAUGUGUGUUUCUCAUCGACCAUCUGAUGGUCCUCAAACACGCAUUUAUGGAGCCUUUGAAGAAAGUGCAGGUUGAAGGCAGUCUGAUGUUUACGGAACCUCAGGACAUCUUCGGUAACCUGGACGAGCUUUGCUACGUGAGUUACACCUUCUGCAAAGACUUCAUCAGCGCCCUGCUGAAAGACAUGAGUGUCACAGACUUCGGUCGAACAAAAGUGCUCAUCAAAGCCUUUCAAAGGUUUUCCACACAUUCCAAGGACGGUGCAGUGUUCCACACUUACUGCAUCAACUACACCAACGCCUUAACCUACCUGGAAAAGCUGAGACAAAAUCCAGAGUUUUCCGAAUUUGAGAGGUGGUGCGAGCAGGACCCGCGGUGCAACCGUCUGCAGCUGACGGACCUGUUGGUAGCACCCAUGCAGCACUGCACCAAGCUGCCGCUGCUGUUGGCCAACAUUCGCAAGUACACGGAGAGUGAGACGGAGCGCCAGAUGGUCACCGAGUCCAUCGAGAAGCUGGAGUUGUCGCUCCCUGGAGGAAAAGAUGAAGUGGAUCAAGAACGUGGAGCGCGUGCAGGAGAUCCAGCGACAAAUCGUUUGGCCGACCGUGACCGACCUUGACCCACGCAGCGUCAUCCCUGAUUGUCUGAAGGCCUCGCUAAGCAAGCAGCCCUGUGAGCGGCUCCUGACUUGUCCCACAAGACAACUGCUGCACGAAGGCCCCCUCACUCUCUUGGAAUCUCCAAAACCGAUUGAGGUGCAUCUGUUUCUGUUCGAUGA